UCCAUUUCCCAUGCUCUCUCGCCUGCCAGAAAGGGCGAGAGAGCAAGUGAACUGGAGA
rnacentral:pre_miRNA from 1 species